rnacentral:lncRNA from 1 species
UUGAUUUUCUUCUUCCCUUCUUUUGCUUUAGUCACUGGGUGUUUGGGCAGGCAAGUCUCAACGUGGAAAAGAUGCUGCAGAAGGCCAGGAGCAUCCCAGGAGUAGGGACAAAAGGCGACGAUGCCCCUGCGUCACCUGCAGCCCUGCCUGGCAAAGAAGGUGUCGGGGAGCAGUGAGGCAGAGGAGAGGGCAGAGGCGGGGACGAAGGCAAGCCCUGUGCCGUGACAGUGCCAUCCCACAGGGGCUGAGCCAGCACAGAGCCAGUGACUGAAACCUAUGCUGAUCCCAAAAUCAAGGCAACAUAUAUGGGAAUUGAAGAGCUUCAGUAAGAGACGCUGAGUCCUACCCCAGAAGGCCCAGCAGACCAAGAAUUGGAGCAUUUCUUUGAGGAAUAGAAGUUCUGGCUUCAAGUCUAUCAAGCAGACAGCAUCAUUGAGCCUAGGCUCUAUUACUGCAGGAGACUGGUGGCUGGGCAAGAACAGAGAACCUGUUGAACUGAGUGUGGUCAUGCUGCAGAGGGUGGAAAGGCUAAAGUUCAGAUUUGCAGACCCAAAACAUCAUGAUGGUUUCUGCACUUCUCAGCUGCUGAGUCACGUACUUCUUCACCUGUGAAGUUUGCAUCAUCUGUGGAAGUUGUAUAGCAGUGGUAAGCCAGUACUCGGCAUCUGAAAGGAUGUGGCAGGAAGCUGUGGCUGAAGACAUGUGGCUCCUAGAUAUGCCAUCCUGGUUCAUGGACUUUAAUAAGAAAUCUCAGACUAAUUAAGCUUUAAUACUGUACGUAAGGAAGGCUGACAGCUCUGCUGUAGCCUGACCCAUAUCUCAAUGUGCUUUUGUGCCUGCAAGAUUUUUUUUCUUCCUUCCCCUGCUGUAAUCCUCAUGGAACAUCUGCUUGAACCAGAAACAAAUGGCAGCUUGUUCUCUGGAUGCAGCGUCCUUGUCUGAACACUCUGGCCCUGAAAUCCUUCAGUGCUUUGUUCCUGUAGUGUUUUUUCCCCUCUAGCACCACAAGACUCGAUUAAUCCAAAUACUGAAAUCCCGCAGGCACUGGUUAUUUUUAGCAGCAUUAACACUAGAGCUCUGCAAAGGGUGGAUGAAGAUUUAUGUUUUUUGUUUAAUAUAAAUCUCACAGCCUUUCUCUUUUCUGCUAGAGCUUGGAUGGAUUCCAACAUCUCCCCCAC